GAUGAAGAACGCAGCGAAAUGCGAUAAGUAGUGUUAAUUGCAGAAUUCAGUGAAUCAUCGAAUCUUUGAACGCACAUUGCGCCCCUUGGUAUUCCAUGGGGCAUGCCUGUUCGAGCGUCAUUUGUACCUUCAAGCUUUGCUUGGUGUUGGGUGUUUGUCUCGCCUUUGCGUGUAGACUCGCCUUAAAAUAAUUGGCAGCCGGCGUAUUGAUUUCGGAGCGCAGUACAUCUCGCGCUUUGCACUCAUAACGACAGCGUCCAAAAGUACAUUUUACACUCUUGACCUCGGAUCAGGUAGGGAUACCCGCUGAACUUAAGCAUAUCAAUAAGCGGAGGA
rnacentral:misc_RNA from 1 species